rnacentral:rRNA from 1 species
GAUGAACGCUGGCGGCGUGCCUAAUACAUGCAAGUCGAGCGAACGGACGAGAAGCUUGCUUCUCUGAUGUUAGCGGCGGACGGGUGAGUAACACGUGGAUAACCUACCUAUAAGACUGGGAUAACUUCGGGAAACCGGAGCUAAUACCGGAUAAUAUUUUGAACCGCAUGGUUCAAAAGUGAAAGACGGUCUUGCUGUCACUUAUAGAUGGAUCCGCGCUGCAUUAGCUAGUUGGUAAGGUAACGGCUUACCAAGGCAACGAUGCAUAGCCGACCUGAGAGGGUGAUGGGCCAAACUGGAACUGAGACACGGUCCAGACUCCUACGGGAGGCAGCAGUAGGGAAUUUUCCGCAAUGGGCGAAAGCCUGACGGAGCAACGCCGCGUGAGUGAUGAAGGUCUGCGGAUCGUAAAACUCUGUUAUUAGGAAAGAACAUAUGUGUAAGUAACUGUGCACAUCUUGACGGUACCAAAUCAGAAAGCAACGGCUAACUACGU